rnacentral:rRNA from 1 species
GACGAACGCUGGCGGCGUGCCUAAUACAUGCAAGUUGAGCGAUGAAGAUUGGUGCUUGCACCAAUUUGAAGAGCAGCGAACGGGUGAGUAACGCGUGGGGAAUCUGCCUUUGAGCGGGGGACAAAAUUUGGAAACGAAUGCUAAUACCGCAUAACAACUUUAAACAUAAGUUUUAAGUUUGAAAGAUGCAAUUGCAUCACUCAAAGAUGAUCCCGCGUUGUAUUAGCUAGUUGGUGAGGUAAAGGCUCACCAAGGCGAUGAUACAUAGCCGACCUGAGAGGGUGAUCGGCCACAUUGGGACUGAGACACGGCCCAAACUCCUACGGGAGGCAGCAGUAGGGCAUCUUCGGCGAUGGACGAAAGUCUGACCGAGCAACGCCGCGUGAGUGAAGAAGGGUUUCGGAUCGUAAAACUCUGUUGGUAGAGAAGAACGUUGGUGAGAGUGGAAAGCUCAUCAAGUGACGGUAACUACCCAGAAAGGGACGGCUAACUACGUG